UGUUGCCUACGGGACGCAGCAGUGGGGAAUAUUGGACAAUGGGGGGAACCCUGAUCCAGCGACGCCGCGUGAGUGAAGAAGUAUUUCGGUAUGUAAAGCUCUAUCAGCAGGGAAGAAAGAGAUGACGGUACCUGACUAAGAAGCCCCGGCUAACUACGUGCCAGCAGCCGCGGUAAUACGUAGGGGGCAAGCGUUAUCCGGAUUUACUGGGUGUAAAGGGAGCGUAGACGGCAGCGCAAGUCUGGAGUGAAAUCCCAUGGCUUAACCAUGGAACUG
rnacentral:rRNA from 1 species